rnacentral:rRNA from 1 species
CACAUGCAAGUCGAGGGGCAGCAUAUUUAUAGCAAUAUAAAUGAUGGCGACCGGCGCACGGGUGAGUAACACGUAUCCAACCUCCCUUUUACUCGGGAAUAGCCUUUCGAAAGAAAGAUUAAUACCCGAUAGUAUAUGGUUUUCUCAUGAAGACUUUAUUAAAGAAUUUCGGUAAAAGAUGGGGAUGCGUUCCAUUAGGCAGUUGGCGGGGUAACGGCCCACCAAACCUACGAUGGAUAGGGGWWCUGAGAGGWWGGUCCCCCACAYUGGWACUGAGACACGGACCAGACUCCUACGGGAGGCAGCAGUGAGGAAUAUUGGUCAAUGGGCGAGAGCCUGAACCAGCCAAGUCGCGUGAAGGAAGAAGGAUCUAUGGUUCGUAAACUUCUUUUGCAGGGGAAUAAAGUGCRGGACGUGUCCUGUUUUGUAUGUACCCUGAGAAUAAGGAUCGGCUAACUCCGUGCCAGCAGCCGCGGUAAUACGGAGGAUCCGAGCGUUAUCCGGAUUUAUUGGGUUUAAAGGGUGCGUAGGUGGUUUGAUAAGUCAGCGGUGAAAGUUUGCAGCUUAACUGUAAAAAUGCCGUUGAAACUGUCGGACUUGAGUGUAAAUGAGGUAGGCGGAAUGCGUGGUGUAGCGGUGAAAUGCWUAGA